rnacentral:rRNA from 1 species
UACGUAGGGUGCGAGCGUUGUCCGGAAUUAUUGGGCGUAAAGGGCUCGUAGGCGGUUUGUCAUGUCGGGAGUGAAAACUCGGGGCUUAACCCCGGAAUUGCACCUCAAACUACAUGGCUAGAGCAUUGGAGAGGGUAGCAGAAUUCAUGGUGUAGCAGUGAAAUGCGUAGAUAUCAUGAGGAAUACCAGAGGCGAAGGCGGCUACCUGGACAAUUGCUGACGCUCAGGCACGAAAGCGUGGGGAGCAAACCGG